rnacentral:rRNA from 1 species
GCAGCCGCGGUAAUACGGAGGGUGCGAGCGUUAAUCGGAAUUACUGGGCGUAAAGGGUGCGUAGGUGGUUAUAUAAGAUAUCUGUAAAAUCCCUGGGCUUAACCUGGGAAGGUCAGAUAAGACUGUUUGACUCGAGUAUAGGAGAGGGUAGUGGAAUUUCCGGUGUAGCGGUGAAAUGCGUAGAGAUCGGAAGGAACACCAGUGGCGAAGGCGGCUGCCUGGCCUGAUACUGACACUGAGGCACGAAAGCGUGGGGAGCAAACAGGAUUAGAUACCCUGGUAGUCCACGCCGUAAACGAUGUCAACUAGCUGUUGGA